UGUGUUUUUCAGAGAUUGUGCCUGACAUAAGUCUUCUUUUACAAGUUUCUGUUGCCACUCAACAGUUCUAACUGUAACUAGCCCUCCUGUUCUUCUCAGUGUGCUCUUUGGUAUCUUUGUGCCUCCAUUCCAGUUACACGUGCCAGUCUCUUUUUCCCCCUCUCUCUUUGUCAUCUUUUUCAUGUAUGUCAGUUCUCACAGAAGCUUCAAAAAUAACCAUCCUCAGCCUGUUCAGGGUGGGAGUGUGUACAAAGGAGAUGGAGGGAGAUUGCUGUGAACUCAAUAAAAUUACCAAGCAAGAAAUGUUUUUUUCAUCUUGGGAGACCUUUUAUGACAAACCUCAGGAGAAAGCUCACAACUACGAGUACUGCAUUCAUCUGAAGGGUAGAAGGAGGACAGACAAUUGAAGUGUAAAAGGAAGUGUAAGAUAGGGAGACAGCAGAAAAAGAUGAGGAUGAUAUGCCUGCUUUUGGAUGAAGAAGUGCCAGCAGAGUUAAAG
rnacentral:lncRNA from 1 species